GCAACAAAGUCUAGGAGAGGGAGUUCGUCUUGUGGUACGUCGUGAAGAUGAAGGUGUGUCUCUUCCCGGACGUGUUUAUCUAUGACGUGUUUAAGUGUGCAAUAGGCGAUAUUUACUACCGUCCCAUAUAAAACGGAGACGGGAUACUGCCUAUCUAGUCGUGCCAGCAAACUUGGAAGGUGGUGUAUCCCCUCUCGUUCGGCCAACAUCAUCAGACCAGCCGAGCUGUCAAGAAUUCUGGACGAACUGUGUGUGAAGGGAUUCAAGGUUUUGGCGAAUAUCUUGGACGUCGCAAAAAGAGUUAUCGAAAAUGGAGGGAAACAAAACACCAGAACGCACGGCUCCACCUUCCGUGACUCCCGUGAAGCUGGCUCGAAAAAUGCGGCGAUCAAAGAGGCGUAAAACGCCAAUCCAAUCUAGACGGGUGCCCAUAUUGAAAAAGAAUGAUAAGACGGGAGAAAUCUUUCUUAUGGAAUCUCCGGAAUCACCGCCUUCGGUGUCACAGUCCCCAGGAACGCCACCAUCAAUGCCGGAAUCUCCAGAAUCGCCACCCAUCGUUCCGGAAUCUCCGGAAUUGCCACCCAUC